AUGCUCUAUUUGGCAGCAGAUACACUAAAAUCGGAAUGAUACAGAGAUUAGCAUGGCCCCUGCACAAGGAUGACACAGGAAUUAAUGAAUUGUUCCAUAUUUAA
ensembl:snRNA U6 U6 spliceosomal RNA